rnacentral:rRNA from 1 species
AUUGAACGCUGGCGGCAGGCCUAACACAUGCAAGUCGAGCGAGCGGCGGACGGGUGAGUAAUGUCUGGGAAACUGCCUGAUGGAGGGGGAUAACUACUGGAAACGGUAGCUAAUACCGCAUACCAUCAGAUGUGCCCAGAUGGGAUGAGCUGGUAGGUGGGGUAAUGGCUCACCUAGGCGACGAGCCCUAGCUGGUCUGAGAGGAUGACCAGCACCACUGGAAAUGGGAAACGGGCCAGACUCCUACGGGAGGCAGUAGGGGGGAAUAGUGGACAAUGGGCGCAAGCCUGAUGCAUCCAUGCCGCGUGUAUGAAGAAGGCCUUCGGGUUGUAAAGUACUUUCAGCGAGGAGGCGUUACUCGCAGAAGAAGCACCGGCUAACUCCGUGCCAGCAGCCGCGGUAAUAC